rnacentral:rRNA from 1 species
GUGGAAGACCACCACGUCGAUAGGCUGGGGGUAUAAGUGUAGUAAUACAUGUAGCUCACCAGUACUAAUCAUCCGAUCGACUUAAUUCCUUA